rnacentral:rRNA from 1 species
UCUUGGUCAUUUAGAGGAAGUAAAAGUCGUAACAAGGUUUCCGUAGGUGAACCUGCGGAAGGAUCAUUAAAAGUGAUAAGUGCUCCCAGCGCGUAUUAUGACACCCAUCUGUGUAUCUUACCUGUUGCUUCCGUGGGUGGUUGGCCAAGGCCACACCCCCCAAACGUGGGGAACCCACGGGAGGUCUCCAUCAAACCAUUGCUUUCAAUGAUAUCUGUCUGAAUUGUCUCAAUGAGAAAACUUAAAACUUUCAACAACGGAUCUCUUGGUUCUCGCAUCGAUGAAGAACGCAGCGAAAUGCGAUAAGUAGUGUGAAUUGCAGAAUUCAGUGAAUCAUCGAAUCUUUGAACGCACAUUGCGCCUCCUGGCAUUCCGGGAGGCAUGCCUGUUCGAGCGUCAUUAAAACCGACUCAAGCAUGUUUGCUUGGACUUGGAGGAAGAGCGUGCCCUUUGGGUGGGUUCCCCUCCGAAAUGCAAUGGCGGAUGGUCCAUGUGGACACCGACGUAGUAAGAGCAAUCUCUCGUCGUGGCCCUGGAUCGUCCCGCCCACAAUCCCCACAAACAAUCAUGGUUGACCUCGGAUCAGGUAGGGAUACCCGCUGAACUUAAGCAUAUCAAUAA